rnacentral:rRNA from 1 species
GACGAACGCUGGCGGCGUGCUUAACACAUGCAAGUCGAACGGUGAAGCGCCUUCCUUUUUGGUGGGUGUGGAUGAGUGGCGAACGGGUGAGUAACACGUGAGUAACCUGCCCCCUUCUUCUGGAUAACCGCAUGAAAGUGUGGCUAAUACGGGAUAUUCUGGGUCUGUCGCAUGAUGGGUCUGGGAAAGAUAUUGUUUCGGUGGGGGAUGGGCUCGCGGCCUAUCAGCUUGUUGGUGGGGUGAUGGCCUACCAAGGCGGUGACGGGUAGCCGGCCUGAGAGGGUGGACGGUCACACUGGGACUGAGACACGGCCUAGACUCCUACGGGAGGCAGCAGUGGGGAAUAUUGCACAAUGGGCGCAAGCCUGAUGCAGCGACGCCGCGUGAGGGAUGGAGGCCUUCGGGUUGUGAACCUCUUUCGCCAGUGAAGCAGGCCUGCCUCGUUUGUGGGUGGGUUGACGGUAGCUGGAUAAGAAGCGCCGGCUAACUACGUG